rnacentral:rRNA from 1 species
GUUUGAUCCUGGCUCAGUAAGUCGUAACAAGGUAACCAGUCGUAGAGUUUGAUCCUGGCUCAGUAAGUCGUAACAAGGUAACCAGUCGUACAGUUUAAUCGGGUCUAAUACCGGAUACUGAUCCUCGCAGGCAUCUGCGAGGUUCGAAAGCUCCGGCGGUGCAGGAUGAGCCCGCGGCCUAUCAGCUAGUUGGUGAGGUAACGGCUCACCAAGGCGACGACGGGUAGCCGGCCUGAGAGGGCGACCGGCCACACUGGGACUGAGACACGGCCCAGACUCCUACGGGAGGCAGCAGUGGGGAAUAUUGCACAAUGGGCGAAAGCCUGAUGCAGCGACGCCGCGUGAGGGAUGACGGCCUUCGGGUUGUAAACCUCUUUCAGCAGGGAAGAAGCGAAAGUGACGGUACCUGCAGAAGAAGCGCCGGCUAACUACGUGCCAGCAGCCGCGGUAAUACGUAGGGCGCAAGCGUUGUCCGGAAUUAUUGGGCGUAAAGAGCUCGUAGGCGGCUUGUCACGUCGGUUGUGAAAGCCCGGGGCUUAACCCCGGGUCUGCAGUCGAUACGGGCAGGCUAGAGUUCGGUAGGGGAGAUCGGAAUUCCUGGUGUAGCGGUGAAAUGCGCAGAUAUCAGGAGGAACACCGGUGGCGAAGGCGGAUCUCUGGGCCGAUACUGACGCUGAGGAGCGAAAGCGUGGGGAGCGAACAGGAUUAGAUACCCUGGUAGUCCACGCCGUAAACGGUGGGCACUAGGUGUGGGCAACAUUCCACGUUGUCCGUGCCGCAGCUAACGCAUUAAGUGCCCCGCCUGGGGAGUACGGCCGCAAGGCUAAAACUCAAAGGAAUUGACGGGGGCCCGCACAAGCGGCGGAGCAUGUGGCUUAAUUCGACGCAACGCGAAGAACCUUACCAAGGCUUGACAUACACCGGAAAACCCUGGAGACAGGGUCCCCCUUGUGGUCGGUGUACAGGUGGUGCAUGGCUGUCUUCAGCUCCUGUCCUGAGAUGUUGGGUUAAGUCCCGCAAACGAGCGCAACCCUUGUCCCGUGUUGCCAGCAGGCCCUUGUGGUGCUGGGGACUCACGGGAGACCGCCGGGGUCAACUCGGAGGAAGGUGGGGACGACGUCAAGUCAUCAUGCCCCUUAUGUCUUGGGCUGCACACGUGCUACAAUGGCCGGUACAAUGAGCUGCGAUACCGCGAGGUGGAGCGAAUCUCAAAAAGCCGGUCUCAGUUCGGAUUGGGGU